rnacentral:tRNA from 1 species
GCGGUGGUAGUAUAGUGGUUAGUAUUCAACGUUGCCAACGUUGGGACUCGGGUUCGAACCCCGGCCGCCGCA